rnacentral:rRNA from 1 species
AUUGAACGCUGGCGGCAGGCUUAACACAUGCAAGUCGAACGCCCCGCAAGGGGAGUGGCAGACGGGUGAGUAACACGUGGGAACGUACCCUUUGGUUCGGAAUAACUUGGGGAAACUCAAGCUAAUACCGGAUAAGCCCUUAUGGGGAAAGGUUUACUGCCGAGGGAUCGGCCCGCGUCUGAUUAGCUAGGUGGUGAGGUAACGGCUCACCAAGGCGACGAUCAGUAGCUGGUCUGAGAGGAUGAUCAGCCAAACUGGGACUGAGACACGGCCCAGACUCCUACGGGAGGCAGCAGUGGGGAAUAUUGGACAAUGGGGGCAACCCUGAUCCAGCCAUGCCGCGUGAGUGAUGAAGGCCUUAGGGUUGUAAAGCUCUUUUACCCGGGACGAUAAUGACUGUACCGGGAGAAUAAGCCCCGGCUAACUUCGUGCCAGCCGCCGCCGUAAGAC